GUGGAGAUGGCCGAGCGGUCUAAGUUGGCAGAUUAAGGGCCUGUUACGAAAGGGCGUGGGUUCAAAUCCCACUCUCCACA
rnacentral:tRNA from 1 species